GUCUGGGUGGCGUAGUGGUUAACGCAACUGCCUAGGAAGCAGGAGAUCCUGGGUUCGAGCCCAGUCUAGCACA